ACGUAGGGUGCGAGCGUUAAUCGGAAUUACUGGGCGUAAAGCGUGCGCAGGCGGUUUUGUAAGACAGAGGUGAAAUCCCCGGGCUCAACCCGGGAACUGCCUUUGUGACUGCAAGGCUGGAGUGCGGCAGAGGAGGAUGGAAUUCCGCGUGUAGCGGUGAAAUGCGUAGAGAUGCGGAGGAACACCGAUGGCGAAGGCAGCCAUCUGGGAUGACACUGACGCUCAUGCACGAAAGCGUGGGGAGCAAACAG
rnacentral:rRNA from 1 species